AACGCGAAGAACCUUACCAGGGUUAUAGACAUGCACGUGCACCAGCCAGAGAUGGUUGUCCCUUCGGGGCGCGUGCACAGGUGCUGCAUGGCUGUCGUCAGCUCGUGCCGUGAGGUGUUGGGUUAAGCCCCGCAACGAGCGCAACCCCUGUGGUCGGUUAGGAUGUCCGACGAGACUGCCACGCUAAACGUGGAGGAAGGUGGGGAUGACGUCAAGUCAGCACGGCCCUUAUGUCCUGGGCGACACACACGCUACAAUGGGCGAGACAACGGGUAGCCAACCCGCGAGGGGGAGCCAAUCCCAGCAAACUCGCUCUCAGUUCGGAUGGCAGGCUGCAACCCGCCUGCCAUGAAGCCGGAGUUGCUAGUAACCGUGGGUCAGCACACCACGGUGAAUACGUUCCGGGGUCUUGAACACACCG
rnacentral:rRNA from 1 species